UACGGGGGGGCAAGCGUUGUUCGGAAUUACUGGGCGUAAAGGGCGCGUAGGCGGUUGGAUAAGUCAGCUGUGAAAACCACGGGCUUAACUCGUGGCCUGCAGUUGAGACUGUCUGGCUUGAGUGUGGGGGAGGAGAGUGGAAUUCCUGGUGUAGCGGUGAAAUGCGUAGAUAUCAGGAGGAACACCGGUGGCGAAGGCGGGUCUCUGGGCAACAACUGACGCUGAGGAGCGAAAGCGUGGGGAGCGAACAGG
rnacentral:rRNA from 1 species